GCCCCAGUAGCUUAAUGGUGGAGCGGCUGAUUCGUAAUCAGCAGGUUGCAGGUUCAAAUCCUGUCUGGGGCU
rnacentral:tRNA from 1 species